CCUACGGGUGGCAGCAGUGGGGAAUAUUGCACAAUGGGCGAAAGCCUGAUGCAGCAACGCCGCGUGAAGGAAGAAGGGUUUCGGCUCGUAAACUUCUAUCAGCAGGAAAGAAAAUGACGGUACCUGACUAAGAAGCCCCGGCUAACUACGUGCCAGCAGCCGCGGUAAUACGUAGGGGGCAAGCGUUAUCCGGAUUUACUGGGUGUAAAGGGAGCGUAGACGGCAGCGCAAGUCUGGAGUGAAAUGCCGGGGCCCAACCCCGGAACUGCUCUGGAAACUGUGAAGCUGGAGUGCAGGAGAGGUAAGCGGAAUUCCUGGUGUAGCGGUGAAAUGCGUAGAUAUCAGGAGGAACACCGGCGGCGAAGGCGGCUUACUGGACUGUAACUGACGUUGAGGCUCGAAGGCGUGGGGAGCAAACAGGAUUAGAUACCCUAGUAGUC
rnacentral:rRNA from 1 species